rnacentral:ncRNA from 2 species
CCGCGUUCGAGUGACUGGCGUUGAAGGUGGGAAACCACCGGGGAGCUCGAUCGCAUAAGCCGCGCGCCUGGGCUCCCAUU